GGCGGUUCUCGGGUGAGAACCGGGCUGGGGAAUCGGGCUCCCUCUUCUCUGGUUCUGGGUGCAUCACCCAAGAACUGCA
rfam:Myotis davidii contig98729, whole genome shotgun sequence.